GAUUGCCUUGGGAAUGGGAGCCCAGGUUCGAGACUUCUGCAAGGCACCUGAGGAGGGCUGGAGGGUAUAUCAGCCGAAGCGUUGUGUUGGCAAUGAACAAGAUGAGGCCAGGUAUCCAUCGAAUGUAAAUAAUGUAAGUGAUGUGCAGAGUUCCUUGUCUCUUAAAUAUAGAA